UACGUAGGGUGCGAGCGUUGUCCGGAAUUAUUGGGCGUAAAGAGCUCGUAGGCGGUCUGUCGCGUCUGCUGUGAAAACCCGAGGCUCAACCUCGGGCCUGCAGUGGGUACGGGCAGACUAGAGUGCGGUAGGGGAGACUGGAAUUCCUGGUGUAGCGGUGGAAUGCGCAGAUAUCAGGAGGAACACCGGCGGCGAAGGCGGGUCUCUGGGCCGUAACUGACGCUGAGGAGCGAAAGCAUGGGGGAGCAACAGG
rnacentral:rRNA from 1 species